CAGCAGCCGCGGUAAUACAGAGGAUGCAAGCGUUAUCCGGAAUGAUUGGGCGUAAAGCGUCUGUAGGUGGCUUUUCAAGUCCGCUGUCAAGUCCCAGGGCUCAACCCUGGACAGGCGGUGGAAACUACCAAGCUGGAGUACGUUAGGGGCAGAGGGAAUUUCCGGUGGAGCGGUGUAAUGCGUUGAGAUCGGAAAGAACACCAACGGCGAAAGCACUCUGCUGGGCCGACACUGACACUGAGAGACGAAAGCUAGGGGAGCAAAUGGGAUUAGAUACCCGCGUAGUCCCUGUCUCUUAUAA
rnacentral:rRNA from 1 species